CGCUACUCCUGGGUUUUUUGAAGAUAAAGAAUUGAGAGACGAUGAUAUAUAUUUGCGACAAUACAAUCAACCGGAAACAAUUGAAUUUAUACACGAAUUUCGGAUGUAUUUGGAUAAAUAUAGUGAAGAACGCGGGGGUUUUGAAAGAAUCUUCAUCGCGGAAGCACAUGUUUGGGGUGAGAUUUUAACACAAUAUUAUGGCAGAAAAAGUUACUCAGUCACACAUUUUCCCUAUACAUUUUUGUUGAAAUACAUCGACACGCCGUUGGAUGCGAUAACUCUGGAAUUUUAUUUAUAUUUUUGGAUGUCGAUUCUACCUGAAGGAAAAAAAUCACUUUGGAUGACUCAAGAUCACGAUGGUCCGAGAGUAGGAUCACGAAUUUGCCCAGAAUACGCUGAUAUUUUCACAAUAGUAUCGAUGAUGCUGCCUGGAACAGUAGGAGUAUAUUAUGGACAAGAAAUUGCCAUGAUGGAUGGAUUCGCUACAAAAGACCAAUCCAAGGAUUUCUCUGGUCGAGGUACCAGGGAUCCUAACAGACUUAUAAUGCAGUGGGAUGAUACAAUAAAUGCUGGAUUUUCAACAAACGUAUCGACAUAUUCACCUGUAAAUUCUGAUUACUUUCAAAGAAAUGUUGCAGUGCAAAAAGAACAACCAGUUAGUCACUACAAUUUGUUCAAGGAUUUAGCCACGUUGAGAAAAACAAACACUUUUAAAUUUGGAAAAUUUAACCAUGCCUAUUUUGGAAAAAAUUAUUGUUUGACGAGAUCAUAUGGAGGAAACGUGCUCGCAGUAGUGAUCAACUUCGAAAUUACAUUUUCUCGAGUGAAUUUGACCCAAAUAUUGCAAAAUCAUACCGAUGGGAUUAAAGUAGUUGCAGCUUCUAUAAAUUCAGGAUAUUU